GGGCCCGUAGCUUAGCCAGGUAGAGUACUGGGCUCCAGAUAUUAAUGCUAGACAUUGGGUCUUAAGACCCUUUAUGGGGAUGAAGUGUAUCUGGAGAGGAGAGACCCAGUGGUCGCGGGUUCGAGUCCCGCCGGGCCCA
rfam:Sulfolobus solfataricus P2, complete genome.